rnacentral:rRNA from 1 species
UACGUAGGCAGCAAGCGUUGUUCGGAAUUACUGGGCGUAAAGAGUGUGUAGGCGGUGCUCCAAGUCUGUCGUGAAAUCUCCCGGCUUAACUGGGAGGGUGCGGCGGAAACUGGAGUGCUCGAGGGUGGGAGAGGAAAGCGGAAUUCCUGGUGUAGCGGUGAAAUGCGUAGAUAUCAGGAGGAACACCUGCGGUGUAGACAGCUUUCUGGACCACUUCUGACGCUGAGACACGAAAGCGUGGGUAGCAAACAGG